GCCAGGCGCAGUGGCGAGUGCCUAUAGUCCCAACUACUCGGGAGGCUGAGGUGGGAGGAUCACUUGAGUCCAGGAGUUCUGGGCUAUAGUGUGCUAUGCUAAUGGGGUGACUGCUCUAAGUUCGGCAUCAAUAUGGUGACCUCCUGGGAGCGGGGGACCACCAGGUUGCCUAAGGAGGGGUGAAACGGCCCACAUCAGAAAGAGCAGGUCAAAACUCCCAUGCUGAUCAGUAGUGGGAUCACGCCUGUGAAUAGCCACUGCACUCCAGCCUGGCAACAUAGCAAGACCCCGUCUCU
rnacentral:SRP_RNA from 1 species